rnacentral:tRNA from 1 species
GCGUUCGUAGCUCAGCUGGAUAGAGCGACGGACUUCGAAUCCGUAGGUCGCCGGUUCGACUCCGGCCGGACGCA